UACAUGGGGUGCAAACGUUUGCUCGGAAUUAUUGGGCGUAAAGGGCUCGUAGGCGGUUUGUUGCGUCGGCCGUGAAAACUCAGGGCUUAACUCUGAGCCUGCGGUCGAUACGGGCAGACUUGAGUUCGGUAGGGGAGAUCGGAAUUCCUGGUGUAGCGGUGAAAUGCGCAGAUAUCAGGAGGAACACCGGUGGCGAAGGCGGAUCUCUGGGCCGAUACUGACGCUGAGGAGCGAAAGCGUGGGGAGCGAACAGG
rnacentral:rRNA from 1 species